AAAGCGUGCGCAGGCGGUUUUGUAAGUCUGAUGUGAAAUCCCCGGGCUCAACCUGGGAAUUGCAUUGGAGACUGCAAGGCUAGAAUCUGGCAGGAGGGGGUAGAAUUCCACGUGUAGCAGUGAAAUGCGUAGAUAUGUGGAGGAACACCGAUGGCGAAGGCAGCCCCCUGGGUCAAGAUUGACGCUCAUGCACGAAAGCGUGGGGAGCAAACAGGAUUAGAUACCCCAGU
rnacentral:rRNA from 1 species